AUUGAACGCUGGCGGCAUGCCUUACACAUGCAAGUCGAACGGCAGCACGGGUGCUUGCACCUGGUGGCGAGUGGCGAACGGGUGAGUAAUACAUCGGAACGUACCUUAUCGUGGGGGACAACGCAGCGAAAGCUGUGCUAAUACCGCAUACGCCCUGAGGGGGAAAGCGGGGGAUCGAAAGACCUCGCGCGAUUAGAGCGGCCGAUGCCUGAUUAGCUUGUUGGUGGGGUAAAAGCCCACCAAGGCGACGAUCAGUAGCUGGUCUGAGAGGACGAUCAGCCACACUGGGACUGAGACACGGCCCAGACUCCUACGGGAGGCAGCAGUGGGGAAUUUUGGACAAUGGGGGCAACCCUGAUCCAGCAAUGCCGCGUGAGUGAAGAAGGCCUUCGGGUUGUAAAGCUCUUUCGGCAGGAACGAAGCGGUGGGCGCUAACAUCGCCUGCUAAUGACGGUACCUGAAGAAGAAGCACCGGUUAACUACGUGCCAGCCGCCGCCGUAA
rnacentral:rRNA from 1 species